rnacentral:rRNA from 1 species
GGGUUGUGAGGUUAAGCGACUAAGCGUACACGGUGGAUGCCCUGGCAGUCAGAGGCGAUGAAGGACGUGCUAAUCUGCGAUAAGCGUCGGUAAGGUGAUAUGAACCGUUAUAACCGGCGAUUUCCGAAUGGGGAAACCCAGUGUGAUUCGUCACACUAUCAUUAACUGAAUCCAUAGGUUAAUGAGGCGAACCGGGGGAACUGAAACAUCUAAGUACCCCGAGGAAAAGAAAUCAACCGAGAUUCCCCCAGUAGCGGCGAGCGAACGGGGAGCAGCCCAGAGCCUGAAUCAGUGUGUGUGUUAGUGGAAGCGUCUGGAAAGGCGCGCGAUACAGGGUGACAGCCCCGUACACAAAAAUGCACAUGCUGUGAGCUCGAUGAGUAGGGCGGGACACGUGGUAUCCUGUCUGAAUAUGGGGGGACCAUCCUCCAAGGCUAAAUACUCCUGACUGACCGAUAGUGAACCAGUACCGUGAGGGAAAGGCGAAAAGAACCCCGGCGAGGGGAGUGAAAAAGAACCUGAAACCGUGUACGUACAAGCAGUGGGAGCACGCUUAGGCGUGUGACUGCGUACCUUUUGUAUAAUGGGUCAGCGACUUAUAUUCUGUAGCAAGGUUAACCGAAUAGGGGAGCCGAAGGGAAACCGAGUCUUAACUGGGCGUUAAGUUGCAGGGUAUAGACCCGAAACCCGGUGAUCUAGCCAUGGGCAGGUUGAAGGUUGGGUAACACUAACUGGAGGACCGAACCGACUAAUGUUGAAAAAUUAGCGGAUGACUUGUGGCUGGGGGUGAAAGGCCAAUCAAACCGGGAGAUAGCUGGUUCUCCCCGAAAGCUAUUUAGGUAGCGCCUCGUGAAUUCAUCUCCGGGGGUAGAGCACUGUUUCGGCAAGGGGGUCAUCCCGACUUACCAACCCGAUGCAAACUGCGAAUACCGGAGAAUGUUAUCACGGGAGACACACGGCGGGUGCUAACGUCCGUCGUGAAGAGGGAAACAACCCAGACCGCCAGCUAAGGUCCCAAAGUCAUGGUUAAGUGGGAAACGAUGUGGGAAGGCCCAGACAGCCAGGAUGUUGGCUUAGAAGCAGCCAUCAUUUAAAGAAAGCGUAAUAGCUCACUGGUCGAGUCGGCCUGCGCGGAAGAUGUAACGGGGCUAAACCAUGCACCGAAGCUGCGGCAGCGACGCUUAUGCGUUGUUGGGUAGGGGAGCGUUCUGUAAGCCUGUGAAGGUGUACUGUGAGGUAUGCUGGAGGUAUCAGAAGUGCGAAUGCUGACAUAAGUAACGAUAAAGCGGGUGAAAAGCCCGCUCGCCGGAAGACCAAGGGUUCCUGUCCAACGUUAAUCGGGGCAGGGUGAGUCGACCCCUAAGGCGAGGCCGAAAGGCGUAGUCGAUGGGAAACAGGUUAAUAUUCCUGUACUUGGUGUUACUGCGAAGGGGGGACGGAGAAGGCUAUGUUGGCCGGGCGACGGUUGUCCCGGUUUAAGCGUGUAGGCUGGUUUUCCAGGCAAAUCCGGAAAAUCAAGGCUGAGGCGUGAUGACGAGGCACUACGGUGCUGAAGCAACAAAUGCCCUGCUUCCAGGAAAAGCCUCUAAGCAUCAGGUAACAUCAAAUCGUACCCCAAACCGACACAGGUGGUCAGGUAGAGAAUACCAAGGCGCUUGAGAGAACUCGGGUGAAGGAACUAGGCAAAAUGGUGCCGUAACUUCGGGAGAAGGCACGCUGAUAUGUAGGUGAAGUCCCUCGCGGAUGGAGCUGAAAUCAGUCGAAGAUACCAGCUGGCUGCAACUGUUUAUUAAAAACACAGCACUGUGCAAACACGAAAGUGGACGUAUACGGUGUGACGCCUGCCCGGUGCCGGAAGGUUAAUUGAUGGGGUCAGCGCAAGCGAAGCUCUUGAUCGAAGCCCCGGUAAACGGCGGCCGUAACUAUAACGGUCCUAAGGUAGCGAAAUUCCUUGUCGGGUAAGUUCCGACCUGCACGAAUGGCGUAAUGAUGGCCAGGCUGUCUCCACCCGAGACUCAGUGAAAUUGAACUCGCUGUGAAGAUGCAGUGUACCCGCGGCAAGACGGAAAGACCCCGUGAACCUUUACUAUAGCUUGACACUGAACAUUGAGCCUUGAUGUGUAGGAUAGGUGGGAGGCUUUGAAGUGUGGACGCCAGUCUGCAUGGAGCCGACCUUGAAAUACCACCCUUUAAUGUUUGAUGUUCUAACGUGGACCCGUAAUCCGGGUUGCGGACAGUGUCUGGUGGGUAGUUUGACUGGGGCGGUCUCCUCCUAAAGAGUAACGGAGGAGCACGAAGGUUGGCUAAUCCUGGUCGGACAUCAGGAGGUUAGUGCAAUGGCAUAAGCCAGCUUGACUGCGAGCGUGACGGCGCGAGCAGGUGCGAAAGCAGGUCAUAGUGAUCCGGUGGUUCUGAAUGGAAGGGCCAUCGCUCAACGGAUAAAAGGUACUCCGGGGAUAACAGGCUGAUACCGCCCAAGAGUUCAUAUCGACGGCGGUGUUUGGCACCUCGAUGUCGGCUCAUCACAUCCUGGGGCUGAAGUAGGUCCCAAGGGUAUGGCUGUUCGCCAUUUAAAGUGGUACGCGAGCUGGGUUUAGAACGUCGUGAGACAGUUCGGUCCCUAUCUGCCGUGGGCGCUGGAGAACUGAGGGGGGCUGCUCCUAGUACGAGAGGACCGGAGUGGACGCAUCACUGGUGUUCGGGUUGUCAUGCCAAUGGCACUGCCCGGUAGCUAAAUGCGGAAGAGAUAAGUGCUGAAAGCAUCUAAGCACGAAACUUGCCCCGAGAUGAGUUCUCCCUGACCCUUUAAGGGUCCUGAAGGAACGUUGAAGACGACGACGUUGAUAGGCCGGGUGUGUAAGCGCAGCGAUGCGUUGAGCUAACCGGUACUAAUGAACCGUGAGGCUUAACCUUACAACGCCGAAGCUGUU